GUUUCACCGCUCCCGUGAGCCCUGCGGAAGCUUUACGGGACCGUGAGACGGAGCCUUUUCCACGUAAAGGGGUCGUGUUUGUGGCCUUCAGGAACGGGCCGAGGGGUUGCCGCGCGCCCUGUGACGACGGCGUCCAGCUCCCAGCGUGGCCGAAGCGCGCGGCCUCAGGACGCAGCUGUUCGCAGGAGACCCUGACCGAGAGACGGCAGCCUGGCGAUGGCAGGAACUUCCCAGAUGGCGAGGCGGCCUUCCUUGGCGCUCCAUGUGGAUCCUCCCCGCUGGGCAUCCGAGAGCUGAGUCGGAGGCUAUGAAUUGCAGAGGGGAUGAAAGCGUGACCUGGGAUUAUGGAGUCAGCUUUGUUGAUGGGGAGGUCCAGGCUGUGGCCCCUUAGGCCACGUGAAGGGAGAGCCUCACUUUUGUUCACAGUGCUGAGGUGCGCAGGACAGAGCAGUCCCGGGGCGUGUCGUAUCACUUGUCCAUCGUGCCUUCUGUGUCUUUUGUGCUUCUUGUGUUGUACGUGCCUUGCCUUAUCUCUUCUGGGGGCUUACCAGAAACCCCGGCGUCACUCCUCGCGUCUCUGAUCUCUGGGCUCCUCAGCCCGACACCAUCGAAGCUUUGCCUCUGGAGCUCUCAGAGGCCUCGGAAUCGCGUCUCUCUUUUAAAAGCAUCCGAUCGGAUGUCUUUUAGAGGUCUUGUUCCGAGCUGUGUCGACAGCCGUGCGCCGC